rnacentral:rRNA from 1 species
UGGGGAAUUUUGGACAAUGGGCGCAAGCCUGAUCCAGCAAUGCCGCGUGCAGGAUGAAGGCCUUCGGGUUGUAAACUGCUUUUGUACGGAACGAAAAAGCCCUCUCUGAUACAGUGGGUGAAUGACGGUACCGUAAGAAUAAGCACCGGCUAACUACGUGCCAGCAGCCGCGGUAAUACGUAGGGUGCAAGCGUUAAUCGGAAUUACUGGGCGUAAAGCGUGCGCAGGCGGUUUUGUAAGACAGAGGUGAAAUCCCCGGGCUCAACCUGGGAACUGCCUUUGUGACUGCAAAGCUGGAGUGCGGCAGAGGGGGAUGGAAUUCCGCGUGUAGCAGUGAAAUGCGUAGAUAUGCGGAGGAACACCGAUGGCGAAGGCAAUCCCCUGGGCCUGCACUGACGCUCAUGCACGAAAGCGUGGGGAGCAAACA